rnacentral:tRNA from 1 species
GCGGGUAUGGUUCAAUGGUAGAACGCUAGCUUGCCAAGUUAGAGAUGGGAGUCCGAUUCUCCCUACCCGCA